rnacentral:lncRNA from 1 species
UCAUUGUAUUCAUAUAGGGUCAAGGAGUGUGGUUGUAAAAAAUAAUCAAAAUCGGAGUUAAAAUGACCGUUACAUCGUGAUUUUUCGUUUAUAACCGUCGAAAUGUUUUGUCCCGUUACUUGAUCUCUGAAUGUUUGUUUCUUGCAAUUUUUGGCGCAUGCAAUCUCGAAGUAUAUAUAAACAUGUUUGACGGUUGGAUCAUUGAAACUAGUUUCGUAAAAUGAGUAUCCCAUCAAAACAAUAGAUUCACUAAUACUUAAUAGUUUAUUCAUAAUUUUAUUAAGUAUAAUAUAAGAUUUUGUGGUAUCCACUAGUGUAAAUAUUUUAAAUUGAAGAUCAAAUUCAAUCAUUGUAUUCAUAUAAGGUCAAGGAGUGUAGCUGCAAAAAAUCAUCAAAAUCAGAGUUAAAAUGACCGUUAAAUCGUGAUUUUUCUUUUUAUAACCGUCGAAAAGUUUUGUCCCGUUAAUUGAUCUCUGAAUGUUUGUUUUUUGUAAUUUUUGACAUAUGCGAUCUCGAAGUAUAUACAAACAUGUUUGACGGUUGGAUCUUUGAAACUAGUUUCGUAGAAUGAGUAUCCCAUCAAAACAAUAGAUUCACUAAUAUUUAAUAGUUUAUUCAUUCUUUUAUUAAGUAUAACAUAAGAUUUUGUGGUAUCCACUAGUGUAAAUAUUUUAAAUUGAAGAUCGAAUUCAUUACUUGUAUUCAUAUAGGGUCAAGGAGUGUAGUUUGUAAAAAAUCAUCAAAAUCGGAGUUAAAAUAACCGUUAAAUCGUGAUUUUUCGUUUAUAACCGUUGAAAACUUUUGUCCCAUUACUUGAUCUCUGAAUGUUUGUUUUUUGCAAUUUUUGGCAUAUGCGAUCUCGAAGUAUAUACAAACAUGUUUGACGGUUGGAUCAUUGAAACUAGUUUUGUAGAAUGAGCAUCCCAUCAAAACAAUAGAUUCACUAAUACUUAAGAGUUUAUUCAUACUUUUAUUAAGUAUAAUAUAAGAUUUUGUGGUAUCCACUAGUGUAAAUAUUUUAAAUUGAAGAUCGAAUUCAAUCAUUGUAUUCAUAUAGGGUCAAGGAGUGUGGUUGUAAAAAAUCAUCAAAAUCGGAGUUAAAAUGACCGUUAAAUCGUGAUUUUUCGUUUAUAACCGUCAAAAAGUUUUGUCCUGUUACUUGCUCUCUGAAUGUUUGUUUUUUGCAAUUUUUGGCGUAUACGAUCUCGAAGUAUAUACAAACAUGUUUGACGGUUGGAUCGUUGAAAUUA